GGAGUUAGCCGGUGCUUCUUCUGUGAGUGAUGUCCUUCCUGCCGUCUAUUAACCCGCAGGCCUUCUUCCUCACUGAAAGUGCUUUACAACCCGAAGGCCUUCUUCACACACGCGGCAUGGCUGGAUCAGGGUUGCCCCCAUUGUCCAAUAUUCCCCACUGCUGCCUCCCGUAGGAGUCUGGGCCGUGUCUCAGUCCCAGUGUGGCUGAUCAUCCUCUCAGACCAGCUACGGAUCGUCGCCUUGGUGAGCCGUUACCUCACCAACCAGCUAAUCCGACAUAGGCUCAUCCGAUAGCGCGAGGCCCGAAGGUCCCCCGCUUUCCCCCGUAGGGCGUAUGCGGUAUUAGCCUGGGUUUCCCCAGGUUAUCCCCCACUACCGGGCAGAUUCCUAUGCAUUACUCACCCGUCCGCCGCUCGCCACCAGGGAGCAAGCUCCCCGUGCUGCCGCUCGACUUGCAUGUGUUAGGCCUGCCGCCAGCGUUCAAUCUGAGCCAGGAUCAAACUCUGA
rnacentral:rRNA from 1 species